rnacentral:rRNA from 1 species
GACGAACGCUGGCGGCGUGCUUAACACAUGCAAGUCGAACGGAAAGGCCCUGCUUUUGUGGGGUGCUCGAGUGGCGAACGGGUGAGUAACACGUGAGUAACCUGCCCUUGACUUUGGGAUAACUUCAGGAAACUGGGGCUAAUACCGGAUAGGAGCUCCUGCUGCAUGGUGGGGGUUGGAAAGUUUCGGCGGUUGGGGAUGGACUCGCGGCUUAUCAGCUUGUUGGUGGGGUAGUGGCUUACCAAGGCUUUGACGGGUAGCCGGCCUGAGAGGGUGACCGGCCACAUUGGGAAUGAGAUACGGCCCAGACUCCUACGGGAGGCAGCAGUGGGGAAUAUUGCACAAUGGGCGGAAGCCUGAUGCAGCAACGCCGCGUGCGGGAUGACGGCCUUCGGGUUGUAAACCGCUUUCGCCUGUGACGAAGCGGGAGUGACGGUAAUGGGUAAAGAAGCACCGGCUAACUACGUG